GUGGGGAAUAUUGGACAAUGGGCGCAAGCCUGAUCCAGCCAUGCCGCGUGCAGGAAGACGCAUCUAUGGUGUGUAAACUGCUUUUGUACGGGAAGAAACACUCCCUCGUGAGGGAGCUUGACGGUACCGUAAGAAUAAGGAUCGGCUAACUCCGUGCCAGCAGCCGCGGUAAUACGGAGGAUCCAAGCGUUAUCCGGAAUCAUUGGGUUUAAAGGGUCCGUAGGCGGUUUAAUAAGUCAGUGGUGAAAGCCCAUCGCUCAACGAUGGAACGGCCAUUGAUACUGUUAGACUUGAAUUACAAGGAAGUAACUAGAAUAUGUAGUGUAGCGGUGAAAUGCUUAGAUAUUACAUGGAAUACCAAUUGCGAAGGCAGGUUACUACUUGUGGAUUGACGCUGAUGGACGAAAGCGUGGGGAGCGAACAGGAUUAGAAACCCGGGUAGUCC
rnacentral:rRNA from 1 species